ACAUACGACCAUAGGGUGUGGAGAACAGGGCUUCCCGUCCGCUCAGCCGUACUUAAGCCACACGCCGGUGAGUUAGUAGUUGGGUGGGUGACCACCAGCGAAUCCUCUCUGUUGUAUGUUUUUAGCG
rnacentral:rRNA from 1 species